rnacentral:rRNA from 1 species
UACGUAGGGUGCGAGCGUUAAUCGGAAUUACUGGGCGUAAAGCGUGCGCAGGCGGUUCGUUAAGUCAGAUGUGAAAGCCCCGAGCUCAACUUGGGAACUGCAUUUGAAACUGGCGGGCUGGAGUGUGGCAGAGGGGGGUGGAAUUCCACGUGUAGCAGUGAAAUGCGUAGAUAUCAGGAGGAACACCUGUGGUGUAGACAGCUUACUGGACCAUGUCUGACGCUGAGACACGAAAGCGUGGGUAGCAAACAGG